AUCCUAGGCUUUCCACUGGGAGCUCUGUUAUUAUUGAUUCUGGCCUUUAGGCAAAUUCCAGUGGUAUCUCAGGGUCCCCAAGUCUGAGAACAAGAUUUCUGUAGGGAUUCUAACUGCCUUUGGCUAGGACACACCCUUUGGCAGGAGUUGUCAGUUGCAGUUUCAGUGUGGAAAGAAAUGAUUUCUCCAUCCCCUGAAAAUUGGUGGUGGCGGUGGUGGCGGUGGUGAUGAUAUGAAUUGAGAUAAUUUGACAGAAGAAUGCUCUUUUUACUUCCUAUCUCCUGGAGAAUCAAAUAAGGCUAAGAGGUAACAUUUGCAAGGUACUUAUUAUGUUCUAGACACAGUGGUUAGCACUUUACAAGCAAUAUAUUUUUUAUCCCUUUUAUUAAGCAAGUGCUGUAAUUUUCUCCAGUUGACAAAUGAGGAAAUCGAUACUCAGAGAGCUUCAGAGAGUUGCUCACUCAGUUAAUAAGAGAUUGUAUUUGUCAAAAUAUUCUAGGUUAUGCUACAGUAAUCAAUAAUCCUCAAAGCCCACCAAAUGGUGCUCAAAUUCCAUGCCUUAAAGCAACAGAAAAUUAUUCCUUAUGUGUACUACUAGCUCAUGUAAUCACUCAAAGACCCAGACUGAGGGAGGCUCCACCAUUUUGAAGCCUCACAAUGUGGGAACGUGGCCCUUGGUUGCCAUGGCAGUGAAGAGAAUGCUGGAGCAGUUAUAUUCUGGAAAUGAUAUACAUCACUUCUGCUUACAGCACAUUGGCCAAAACUUGUCACAUGGUCCUGCCUAAUGGCACACUGGCGAGCUGGUACUCCUCCCUACACCUUGACGAAGAGGUGAACCAAAAUGGCUGACUAAUCAAAGUUACUAUGUCAGAGGCAGACUUUGAGCUCUUCACCACCAUCUGAUACUAUUGCCCUUGAGAAGAAUGAUCUCCUGCUGGAUGAGAGGAUCACAGUGGCUGUGUGGAGCUUCAUUAUUCAUUCUCCUCCAUCCAUCUUAAUCCUACCAUGCCUGUCACUGGAUCCCAAAGAGGCACAAUUAGGACCUCCCCUCAGGAGUCCUUCUGGCCUCUGCCCAGCUCCUAUGCUGUUCAAGACCAAUACUUGAUGCCCAGUGGCCCACGUUUUUUAACCUUUGGGAUUCAUGUGAUCAGCACCCACACAGCUGGGAAUCACUGAGUCACAGGCUGAGCAGCUGCUUGCAUCUUUUCUGCCUGGAAACAAGAUUUGUAGGGCAGAGUGGAUCUGCCUCCCACCCUUCUGGCAGGCUCCUGUGGCUCUCGGCAUUCCUGCUGCAAAGCCUUGUGAAGCACGUCUUUAACUUCUCAGAGAAGUGUUUAACAAAUGUCACCAUCCAGAGCUGACAGGCACAGUGGUCUUAGACCUGGAAGCCUCAGAUAUGAACAUCUUGGCAGGAAUCUCCAUCACGUUUCUGGAUAUGGGUUUGGAAUGUGUUCACCGACCUGCCCUUUACAAUUCAUUGAUUUUUGGGUUUGUUUACUUUUUCAACUCAUUCUCCAGGCAAGACGCAGUUUCUUCCUCCAGGUAAGAUGCAGUCAACAGCGAGAGAGGCUAAGAAGAGUCCAAGGGAAAGAUGUGUUUGCAAACAUUGCUUUUGGAUAGAACACUCUUUUUCUAGAACAAGUAGAGAAAGAGGGAGUUUAAAAAGUCAACAUAAUACCGAUAGGAGACAAAUAAUUGAACACAAAGAAAACAGAAUUUAUCCUUGAAACUGAAAGAACAGCAUACCUCUGGAAGUUACCUUCUAUAGGAAGCAGCAGGAUUAAAACAAACACAACUCUUUGUUCCUCAAUCUUCUCCUUUUAACCUAGUCUUUCCUCCUGGUUUUUUCAUUUCGUUUCAUAGAGUCCAAGUUGUUUUUAUAUCCUUUGUGUAGAGCAAAGUCAAUGAACAGAGAACAUAAAGGAUAUUAAAGAAAUAACUGCAAAGAAACAGAACUUGGAGUGCUAGAAAUGUCUUUCUUGGAGAUGGUAAAGAAUGGAAUGGACACUGUAGAAAUGGAAUCAGUAAUGUCGAACAACCUGAAGAAACUCCCAGAAUGGAGAGAGAAAGCUUAAAGAGAAUGAGAAAAGAGAAAAAGGAAAAUGACUGAUAUGGAGGAAAGAGAACAAAGACCCAAUAAAAGAAUUAUGGACAUGUUUUUAUAGCAGAAAACAAAAAGUCCACUCAUUAAUGAUUAUUGGUGUAAAAAUCAUCCAUGAAAAUGGUAGUAAAUUGCGCUCCUGGAACAUCAAUCCCUGGUUAAUAAAUUUCAAAAUUCUCAAUUCAAAUAAGAAAUUAAGAAUUUUUUGAGCCCGAUUAUGAUAAAUACUAAAAAAUUUUCCUAAAAAGAUACAAAGUAAGAUUUGGAUAGAUACUCCUGGCCAGAAGAUCAGAUGGUGUAAAGAUAUACAUUCUUCCUAUGUUAUAUCAUGAUUUAAAUAGUUUUAAUAAAAAUCCUAACAGUAUGGGCUAAAGCAAAUCUAACAUUUGAAAAAGUGAAUCUAACAUUUAUCUGGAAGCAAAAAUGGUGCAAGUAGCCAGGACAUUUUUUUUAAGAGCUAUUAUAAUAGAUUGUAAUCAAAACAGCAUGGCGGUGGUAGAACUUGAUAGGCAGAGAAUGCACCGAGAAGAUGUCCCAGCAUUAUUUAAUGAUUCUUUCUCCUCUAAUUUCGAAUGCCAAAUUUAAUCAUAAACUCACUCUUCUAUAUAUAUACUAAAGUCUAUUUUUGGGAUAAGUGGUUAACAAUAUGAAAGAAAGUUGGCAUCCUUUCUCAAAGCAUACACCACAAUACAAAGACCAAAAGGACUAAAUAGUCAAAUGCACAAAAGGAAGCCAAAAUAAAAUAUGGAUGGCUGUAUCUCUGAUCUUGAGCUUGGUUUAGUUUGUCUAUGUAUAAUGAGAUGGGGAAAAUUUUAUUCACCACAAUUCCACUUAUGAAUGGAACUCAUUUGUGGGAGAAAGUUCAUGAAGUAGAAAGGGAGACAGUAGAGGGUCUGAGUAAUAAACAUUGCUCUGUGGGAGACAAGAAGAAUUUCCCUGAUACUCUAACAAAGAAAGGAGAAGGGAGACAAAGGGAAGCAAAAGGAAGUAAAACAAAGGAAGCCAUCAUGAUGUGUGUGGAGGGGAAGAGGAAGUAGUGUCUAGAAGCAACAAGACGUUGAACUGUUACCAACUGCCAAAUUGGAGUCUGGGCGGGUUUUCAGCAGUCUCUAUAGGGCAGGAGGUGCCCGUCAAGGAUCUGGGUUAAAUGAGUGUAAAAGCAGUGGAGGAAAUCUCGAAGAGGAGCAAUUGGCAGAUUUUCUAACGUCAGAUUAGAAAUUUUUGUACAUCAGGGUUUAUAAACUACAAGGGAUCAAAUCUGGCCAUUCCCUUGAGUUUUUGUAUUAUCUGUCUCUGUUUUCCAGCUACCAUGGCAGCAUUGAGAAGUCGUGAUGGAGAACAUAUGGCCCACAAAGGCUAAAAUAUUUACUAUCUGGCCCUUUAAAGAAAAACUUUGCUAAUCCAAGCUCUACAUAAAAAAUAUCACAAUUAAAAGGCAAACUCAGAGAGGCUGGCCUGAUGGCAUAGCGGUUAAGUGCACGUGCUCUGCUUCAGCGGCCUGGGGUUGGCAGGUUCAGAGCCUGAGUGUGGACCAAGCACCGCUCGGUCAAGUCACACUGUGGCGGCAUCCCACAUAAAAUAGAGGAAGACUGGCACAGAUGUUAGCUCAGUGACAACCUUCCUCACCAAAAUUAAAAAAAAAAAGGCAAACUCAGAAACAAAAUGAAAUACUUGACACAAAUAGACUAAAGCAAACAAUAAUACCCUAAGUCUGCAAAGGGCUCUUUUAAAUUUAUUGAAAAACAGUCAGUUGGCAAUAGGCAGAGGACAUGAAUAGACAGUUCGUUGAAGAAAAAUACAAAGGUAUCAACACAUGAACCAAUGGAAGUCUGGCCUCACUAGGGAGCAAUCAAGGGACAGUGGAAUCAACCACAAUCAUGCCACAGUGUUUGGAGUAAGGAUGUUGUGAUGUGGACAGCUUCCCAUACUGUCGGUUGGAACACAUUAGAACCCUAAAAUAACGACACAAAGGUUACACCCUUUGAUCCAGAAAUUCCACUUCUGAGAAGCUAUCUUGAGAAACUAUUUGCAGAUACAAAUAUGUAAAGGUGAGAAUAUUCACUGAAGUAUUAAUAUCCCUAGUUCCACCUCUUACUAGUCACCAAACCUCACUAAACCUCAGUUUCCUCAUCUGUGAAAUGGGAAUUAAAAUAGUACCCAAUCGUAGGGCUGUCAUGAAGAUUCAGCGUGAUGGUACAUGUAAACUUUUUAGGAAGAAGACCUCUUACAUAGUAACAACGUAGCAGAUCACAACUACUUUUUAAAAGUAAAAUAAUAGAGAAAAGGUAAGUAAAUACUGGUAUAUCCUUAUAAAGGAAUGUUAUCAGCCAUUAAAUUAACGAGUUUGAGGCAUAUUCAUAUAGAAAAAGUUAUAGUGAAAAUAAAUCAGAGUACAAAAUUGAAUAUAUGAUAUUAUUCCAAUGAUGAACAGAAAAUCCAUAAAUGCAUGCAUAUGCACAUAAAAGGAUUGGAAAGAAAUAUAUCAAAUAUUGAGAAUAGCCUCUGACUGGCAGAAAUGAGUUGACUUUAUUACUUACUGCUUUUAGAAAUUAUUCUAAAUAUUAUAUUUCACAAUCAAGCAACAAACUAAACAUUUUCUAAUAUAAAUUAGAAUAGGUAGGGAAUAACUAAAGAAUUACCUAUGUUGAGGCAAGAAAAAAAAUACUAACAUAGGUUGACUCUUUUAACUAGGAAAGUGUUGCGUGAGAAGCAAGGUCCGAGGUCAGAGGACAUCAGUCUUUUGUCUAAUUUCAGGCCAGUCUCCUAUGUGUAAGAUUUGCAUGAAGAGUGGAAAAGAUGCAAGGUGAGGGUCUGUGUUGAUUCUAAUUCUCUCAUGUUACAGGCUUCUCCUCCUCUGUUUCAGAAGCGAGGGGUCUGCAGACUACUCCCCUCUUUAUCUCCACUAGAGUCCUGUCAUUCCUCCAGGGUCCUCCUGGGGAAAUUUACCUGUCUCCCCCAUGUUCCUUUAUCCCACUCCUUCCCCCAAGUACACCUUGAGCCUGGUGCCUUCUCCAUGCUACCUCACUAACCUCCCCCUCUUCCAUCCUUAGGACACUUCCUUGGAUUCAGCCUUCCCAGGCCAACUUGCCAAAUUAAUGAGGAAUAAAGCUUCCGUCUACUCAACAGCUACCACCCUCUUCCCAUGGAUCGCGACUGAAAUGUGGUACUGCUGCAAUGCCAUUCACGGCCUGGGAUAAAAAGAUGAGAAACUGAGGCCUGGAGAAGGCCCCACAGAUGGUUGAGGAGAGCCAGAUCAUGAACCAACAUCAUGGCACAUCUCGCCUGAAGAACCCACACCAGUUCCAGAGCCUUCAGGAAGUCCUUCCCAUCUACUCACUUCUUCCUGCCUCCAGUGGUUCUGGAAGAAUUCAGAGAAUGCCUCAUUUGCAGGGCUAAAAGAAGCCUAUGGAGGCUUCCAUUCCUGUCCUGGGCAUGUAGGCACAAACAAGAGUCAUCUCUACCCCCAGUAAGAAGGGUUACUGCAUAAGUGAGCACAACAGAAGAGAAGCCUGCCCAAGGCCUCCCCAGAGAUUUGGCUUUCUGCGUCCUGAAAAUUGGUUUCACCUAAGCCAAGAAACCAGUUAUCAGAUGGGAAUGGCAUUCUGUCAUCCCAGCCUGGGUCACCAGACGCCUAGAGGUGAGAGUCUUUGGGACAUAUUUCCCUGAUUAAACCAUCAUGGCAUCCUUCUGACAUGUAAGUGUGGAAGAAAGGAAUGUGUUACCGGGACCCAGUGAACAAAUCUUUUUAUAGCAUGACGUUGGACAUGAGGAUGUGGAUGCCUGAACACUAACAACACUUCAGUAAAGAACUAUCUUCAGUAGAGGCCCUCCCAAAUGCCAUCCCACAGUGACACAGAGGGAACAGUCUGAAGAAACUGCAAAGAGCUGCAUUAUUUGUAAGCAGAAAGUGGGAACCAGUUUGUAUCACAGCUGCUGAGGACAGAACAAAAACAAGUGGGCCUGAGAAGAUCAGAAGGAAAUAUGGGCCAACGGAGACUGCAGACUCUCUGUUUCCCAUUGUAGAUUUUUAAAACAUGAUAGUUUCUUCUAUCUGGGGAACUAUUUAAUUGUGGUCACUUUUGAAGGCAGAAGCCUAGUCUCCAGUUGGGGGAAUGGGACCAAUAUGGAUAAUAUAGCUUAAUCUGAUGCAGUCAAGAAGGGGUGGAGCAAGGAAAUGAAUAUUUAUUGAUUGUCUAUGAUGUGCUAGUCAUUUUUCAAUCAUUGACUUAUUUAAUCUUCCAAACCACACCAGGAGGUUGCUAUGACUAUCUCUCCCUUUCAAAACAGGAGGAUGGGGCUCAGGAAGCUAAGGGAACCUACAACCAAGGAGAGGUGGGAAGCGGAUCAGGGCUUUGAAGUCUUUUCUUACUAAGAACAAGGACAACCCCCAACCUCAGAUGCCAAUCAGUACAAUUAUGUUAUGAAAUUAAAUAUUUUCUUAAAAAGAAAAAGCAAGGAGGCAGCCUCUGGUAUAUAGUUUAUCU
ensembl:lncRNA